ensembl:miRNA MIR219A2 microRNA 219a-2
CUCCUGAUUGUCCAAACGCAAUUCUUGUCCAGAAAAACAUGCAAACCAAGAAUUGUGUCUGGACAUCGGUGGCUGAGUCU